AGUUAUUUACAAGCGAAACAAAAGAGCGCGUGAAAUAAGCUGAAUGGAAAGAGAAACACAAAGCACCAACCGCAGACAGAUUCUUUGGUCUUUGCUUUAAUUGAAAAUGAACAGAGCGUGCGCUUCUUUCUAUUUCACUUACCUCUGUUCAUUCUUCAAUUUAAAGCAAAAGAACAAAGAAGACAGAGAAAUCCAAGGUGUGAGACGAAAAGCCCACGAGAUUCCCUUUCCAUUCCCUUCUUGUUUUGUUUCAUUUAAA
rnacentral:ribozyme from 1 species